UACAGAGGUCUCAACCGUUGUUCGGAUUCAUUGGGCGUAAAGGGUGCGUAGGCGGUUCGAUAAGUCGGGUGUGAAACCUCCAGGCUCAACCUGGAGACGCCACCCGAUACUGUCGUGACUAGAGUCCAGUAGGGGAGCGUGGAAUUCCUGGUGUAGCGGUGAAAUGCGCAGAUAUCAGGAGGAACACCAGCGGCGAAGGCGGCGCUCUGGGCUGGCACUGACGCUGAGGAGCGAAAGCGUGGGGAGCGAACAGG
rnacentral:rRNA from 1 species